UACGUAGGGGGCAAGCGUUGUCCGGAAUUAUUGGGCGUAAAGCGCGCGCAGGCGGUUUCUUAAGUCUGAUGUGAAAGCCCACGGCUCAACCGUGGAGGGUCAUUGGAAACUGGGGAACUUGAGUACAGAAGAGGAGAGUGGAAUUCCACGUGUAGCGGUGAAAUGCGUAGAUAUGUGGAGGAACACCAGUGGCGAAGGCGACUCUCUGGUCUGUAACUGACGCUGAGGCGCGAAAGCGUGGGGAGCAAACAGGAUUAGAUACCCUGGUAGUCCACGCCGUAAACGAUGAGUGCUAGGUGUUAGGGGGCUUCCACCCCUUAGUGCUGAAGUUAACGCAUUAAGCACUCCGCCUGGGGAGUACGGCCGCAAGGCUGAA
rnacentral:rRNA from 1 species